rnacentral:rRNA from 1 species
UACGUAGGGCGCAAGCGUUGUCCGGAUUUAUUGGGCGUAAAGAGCUCGUAGGCGGUUUGUCGCGUCUUCCGUGAAAACUGGGGGCUUAACUUCCAGCUUGCGGUGGAUACGGGCUGACUGGAGUGCGGCAGGGGAGACUGGAAUUCCUGGUGUAGCGGUGAAAUGCGCAGAUAUCAGGAAGAACACCAAUGGCGAAGGCAGCUCUCUGGGACGGUACUGACGCUGAGACGCGAAAGCGUGGGGAGCGAACAGG